GGACUACAGGGGUUUCUAAUCCUGUUUGAUCCCCACGCUUUCGUUUUUCAGCGUCAGUAUUAGGCCAGAUGACCGCCUUCGCCGCCGAUGUUCCACCUGAUAUCUACGUAUUUCACCACUACACCAGGUAUUCCAUCAUCCUCUCCCAUACUCAAGCUUUGCAGUAUUAAAUGCACUUCUGAGGUUAAGCCCCAGGCUUUCACAUUUAACUUACAAAGCCGCCUACAAACCCUUUACGCCCAGUGACUCCGAACAACGCUUGGACCCCCCGUAUUACCGCGGCUGCUGGCAC
rnacentral:rRNA from 1 species